UACGGGGGGGAGCAAGCGUUGUUCGGAUUUACUGGGCGUAAAGGGCGCGUAGGCGGUCGUGACAAGUCACUUGUGAAAUCUCCGGGCUUAACUCGGAACGGUCAAGUGAUACUGUCGGACUAGAGUACAGAAGGGGCAACUGGAAUUCUCGGUGUAGCGGUGAAAUGCGUAGAUAUCGAGAGGAACACCUGCGGCGAAGGCGGGUUGCUGGGCUGAUACUGACGCUGAGGAGCGAAAGCAUGGGGAGCGAACAGG
rnacentral:rRNA from 1 species